ACUCCUACGGGAGGCAGCAGUGGGGAAUAUUGCACAAUGGGGGAAACCCUGAUGCAGCCAUGCCGCGUGUGUGAAGAAGGCCUUCGGGUUGUAAAGCACUUUCAGUAGGGAGGAAGGUAGUGUAGUUAACACCUGCACUAUUUGGUCGUUACCUACAGAAGAAGCACCGGCUAACUCCGUGCCAGCAGCCGCGGUAAUACGGGAGGGUGCGAGCGUUAAUCGGAAUUACUGGGCGUAAAGCGCAUGCAGGCGGCCUGUUAAGUCAGAUGUGAAAGCCCGGGGCUUAACCUCGGAAUUGCAUUUGAAACUGGCAGGCUAGAGUCUUGUAGAGGGGUUAGAAUUUCAGGUGUAGCGGUGAAAUGCGUAGAGAUCUGAAGGAAUACCAGUGGCGAAGGCGGCCCCGUGGACAAAGACUGACGCUCAGAUGCGAAAGCGUGGGAGCAAACAGGAUUAGAUACCCCUGGUAGACUGUCA
rnacentral:rRNA from 1 species